ensembl:lncRNA
UAUUUCAGGUGUAUUUCAAAACGACUCCUUUUCCUCUUCUGCUGGAAUCACAGGGGGAUUUUUGUUUGAAACUCACUGUGAGGACCUGCUAGAGAUUCUGAAGGCAAAGCUCACAGAAAUGUGGAGUGGCUCCCAAUUACUGGGUCCCUCUGGAGUUUUUAUCUCUUAGUCUUAACCACAUGAAGCCUCCAGCAAUUUGUCAACUACAGCUCAAGUUCCCUACUCCAGCCCUGGUUCCCAAAAGGUUUCUGCUCCAUGAAAGCCCUUCUGAGGCAUGGACUUUUUCUAGCUUAUUCACUCACCAUUGAGUCCUCAGUGUUUAAAAUGGACAGUGCCUGGCUCCUUGUGGCACCUGUUAAUAAAAAUUUGGUAAACGAAUGAAUGGCUGAACAAUUGCAAACCAUCCACACGUUAAUGAAGGUGCUACUUUCGGACUAUAGAGUUAUAUGAGUAAAUGUUCCAAAUUUCAAUCAAGGAUACCUUGCAUGUAUUUGGAAGACACCAAAACAUGGACAUUUAUGGAAUGCAUACUGUGUGCCCAGGAGGAUGCCAAGUAUCUUAACCAGUGCGGUCAAUAGAGCAACCAGGAACGAAAAACUCAAGACCUAAAUCAGACCACGUCCCUCUUCUGCUCAAAAGCUUCCGAUGGCUCCCAUCCCACUCUGGGAAAAAGCGAAAGUCAUCCUAAUGGCCUGCAAGGCCCCUUUCCCGUUGCCCUCUGCCUCAUCUCCCAGUUUCCCUCUCUGUCUCCCCUCCGGUCCUCCUGGCUCCUGGAUGUAGCUUAUACCAGGCUCGCUCCCAGAUCAAGGCCUUCUCGCCUUUCUGCCGGCGCUGCUUGUUCCCCAGAUGCUUGCAUGAGUGGUUCCCUCAGCUCUUUCAGUCUUCACUCAAUUUCCACAUUCUAAGUGGAGCCUUCCAUGGCCACUGUAUUUACAAUCAUAGGUAUUGAUGAUCCCUCCGCACCUAGAACUCUCUCUCUCCCCUGUUCUAGUUUUCUCCUUAGUACCAUGUACCACAUAUAUUUCCUUCAUUUGUUUUGUUUAUCGUGCUGUCUUCUCCCACCGGAAUGAAAGAAAAGCAGGGAUUUUUGCCCAUGUUGUUCAUUGCUGUAUCCCCAGCACCUAGUACAGUGCC